rnacentral:tRNA from 1 species
UCCCUGGUGGUUUAGUGGUUAGGACUCAGUGCUUUCACCGCCUUGGCCCAGGUUCAAUUCCUGGUCUGGGAA